AACGAACGCUGGCGGCAGGCUUAACACAUGCAAGUCGAACGCGUGUAGCAAUACACGAGUGGCGCACGGGUGAGUAACGCGUGGAUAUCUGCCUUUUGGUUCGGAAUAACUCCGGGAAACUGGAGCUAAUACCGGAUGGUUCCUACGGGAUAAAGAUUUAUCGCCAAAAGAUGAGUCCGCGUACGAUUAGCUAGUUGGUGAGGUAAUGGCUCACCAAGGCGACGAUCGUUAGCUGGUCUGAGAGGACGAUCAGCCACACUGGGACUGAGACACGGCCCAGACUCCUACGGGAGGCAGCAGUGGGGAAUAUUGGACAAUGGGGGCAACCCUGAUCCAGCCAUGCCGCGUGAGUGAUGAAGGCCUUCGGGUUGUAAAGCUCUUUUGGUCGGGGACGAUGAUGACGGUACCCGCAGAAUAAGACCCCGGCGUAACUUCGUGCCAGCAGCCGCGGUAAU
rnacentral:rRNA from 1 species